GUGAAGCGCAUCGGUAUUUGUGAGCAAACUUUACUGGGCACAUUUUCCGAAUUCCCAACUUCCCAACGUUUCUCUGCACACGCUAAAACAGACUUUGGUAUGACCGAGAGCAUGACUGUUUGUUUCAAAAGGCAAUCACAUUUAUUUUUUCAUCUCGCAGGACAUUUUUCUAAACGCCCCAAGCAAACGAAUUUAAAUAAAAGCAUUUUUCGUGUAAGUUUGAUGAUGUUUGGACACUUUUUUAGUUAAAAUAUUUGUAAAUAUAAAACUUUAUUUGAAAGUUACAUUGCUGCUACAUUGUGUGAGUUUUUUAAACGUGCCGUGUUUAUUUUGGUCAUCCAGCGAGAAAAAAAAAAUGAAAAUUUUGUUGCGAAAAAAGUCAUCCCGCACCGAAGAAAACUUCCCGUUACAGCUAAAUAUGAGCUGCACUAGCGAUUUGGAGUUCUUUUUUCCGAGAUUGCGCAAGCUUCCCGUUGGAGCUGUCCCCGCAUGUGGUAUCAAAUAGGUUCAACUUCAACAACCAGGCAGGAGAUAUACGGAAAGCCGCUGUUCGUAGCUGACGAGAAAGCUAAUAAUUUCAAUAAGCAGCACAUGACCGCUUCUGAAAAUGUCCGAUUGCCAGGACUUAGAUGAGAGCGACUUAAAAUUUCAAUCCGGAUGAUGUUAAGAUAUGUCCUGCAUUCCGCUUGGCGACGUGAAGCAGACACAAAUCCAGGCCGCAACACACCUCCUAGAAAAAUUAAGUGUAUAUUAAUUGAAACUACCCACAAUGAAAAUGAAGUGUAUGCUUAUUUAUCCAAAUAAAA